rnacentral:rRNA from 1 species
UACGUAGGGCGCAAGCGUUGUCCGGAAUUAUUGGGCGUAAAGAGCUCGUAGGCGGUUUGUCGCGUCUGUCGUGAAAGCUUGGGGCUUAACCCCAAGUCUGCGGUGGAUACGGGCAGACUAGAGGCAGGUAGGGGAGAACGGAAUUCCCGGUGUAGCGGUGAAAUGCGUAGAUAUCGGGAGGAAUACCGAUGGCGAAGGCAACUGCCUGGGCCUGAACUGACACUGUGACUCGAAAGCGUGGGUAGCAAACAGG